rnacentral:rRNA from 1 species
UGGGGAAUUUUGGACAAUGGGCGAAAGCCUGAUCCAGCAAUGCCGCGUGUGUGAAGAAGGCCUUCGGGUUGUAAAGCACUUUUGUCCGGAAAGAAAUCCUUGGCUCUAAUACAGUCGGGGGAUGACGGUACCGGAAGAAUAAGCACCGGCUAACUACGUGCCAGCAGCCGCGGUAAUACGUAGGGUGCAAGCGUUAAUCGGAAUUACUGGGCGUAAAGCGUGCGCAGGCGGUUUGCUAAGACCGAUGUGAAAUCCCCGGGCUCAACCUGGGAACUGCAUUGGUGACUGGCAGGCUAGAGUGUGGCAGAGGGGGGUAGAAUUCCACGUGUAGCAGUGAAAUGCGUAGAGAUGUGGAGGAAUACCGAUGGCGAAGGCAGCCCCCUGGGCCAAUACUGACGCUCAUGCACGAAAGCGUGGGGAGCAAACAGGAUUAGAUACCCUGGUAGUCCACGCCCUAAAACGAUGUCAACUAGUUGUUGGGGAUUCAUUUCCUUAGUAACGUAGCUAACGCGUGAAGUUGACCGCCUGGGGAGUACGGUCGCAAGAUUAAAACUCAAAGGAAUUGACGGGGUCAUAGCUGUUUCCU